UACGAAGGGUGCAAGCGUUAGUCGGAAUUACUGGGCGUAAAGCGUGCGUAGGCGGUUUCUUAAGUCUGUUGUGAAAGCCCUGGGCUCAACCUGGGAACUGCAGUGGAUACUGAGAAGCUAGAGUGUGUCAGAGGAUGGUGGAAUUCCCGGUGUAGCGGUGAAAUGCGUAGAGAUCGGGAGGAACAUCAGUGGCGAAGGCGGCCAUCUGGGACAACACUGACGCUGAGGCACGAAAGCGUGGGGAGCAAACAGG
rnacentral:rRNA from 1 species